GGUGGCUCCAAUGCAAUUACAAGGGUCCUUAAAAGCUGAAGAGGGACUUGAAAGGAAGAGCUGACAAGAUGGCAAAAUGAGAAGGACACAUUUUGCUGAUGCUGCUGACUUAGAAGAUUGAGGAAUGUGUCAUGAAUCAAGGAAAACAGAGGAACUCUAGAAGUUGGAAUUUCUAGAAGCUGAAAAAUGGAGUUACAGAAAUUAAGAAGCAUAUUGUCAUGAUAAUAACUGAAAAAGAACCAGGCACACACUCCACAACUGCAUUUUCUCCUUUACGUUCUGGAUGUUAGAGUCUGGGGAUUUAUCUGCGGGGAAGGGUCUUUCUGUUCUGAACUGCAGAUUUCCACAUAA
rnacentral:lncRNA from 1 species